rnacentral:rRNA from 1 species
AUACGUAGGGGGCGAGCGUUGUCCGGAUUUACUGGGCGUAAAGGGUGAGUAGGCGGUUAUAUGUGUCAGAUGUAAAAGGCUAUGGCUUAACCAUAGUUAGCAUUUGAAACUGUAUGACUUGAGUGCAGGAGAGGUAAGUGGAAUUCCUAGUGUAGCGGUGAAAUGCGUAGAUAUUAGGAGGAACACCAGUGGCGAAGGCGACUUACUGGACUGUAACUGACGCUGAGUCACGAAAGCGUGGGUAGCAAACAGGAUUAGAUACCCUGGUAGUCCACGCUGUAAACGAUGAGUGCUAGGUGUUGGCCAGCGAUGGUCAGUGCCGCAGUAAACACAUUAAGCACUACGCCUGGGGAGUACGGUCGCAAGACUGAAACUCAAAUGAAUUGACGGGG